GAUGAAGAACGUAGCGAAAUGCGAUAAGUAAUGCGAAUUGCAGAAUCCGUGAGUCAUCGAAUCUUUGAACGCACAUUGCGCCCCUUGGUAUCCCGAGGGGCAUGCCUGUUCGAGCGUCAUUUCACCACUCAAGCCUGGCUUGGUGUUGGGCGACGUCCUCUUUGGGGACGCGCCUCGAAACGCUCGGCGGCGUGGCACCGGCUUUAAGCGUAGCAGAAUCUUUCGCUUUGGAAGUCGGGGCCCCGUCUGCCGGAAGACCUGCUCGCAAGGUUGACCUCGGAUCAGGCAGGGAUACCCGCUGAACUUAAGCAUAUCAAUAAGCGAGG
rnacentral:misc_RNA from 1 species